GCAAACUUGGUCAUUUAGAGGAAGUAAAAGUCGUAACAAGGUUUCCGUAGGUGAACCUGCGGAAGGAUCAUUAGAAAAUCUCUUGAGCCGCAAGGCUCUGUUAUCUUGUGAAAUGCUCGUUGUUGUUGCGCAGGAAGGGGGGGGAGAAAUGGUGGGGCUGCUUGUUUAUUGUCUGUCAUCAAGCGGAGCGAGCGUGCUGUUGCAUUGCGCACGGCCCUCGCUCUGCCGCUGCAGAUGAUGGAUGGUUGUUACCGCCUGCCUCCUUCCUUCCGCCGCGCGGCAAUGAUGUGACCCCAUUAUUAAACAUAUGUUCUUGAUGCUGAGGAAUGCGCAUGUAUCUUAAUGUAUAUGUACAACUUUCAACAGUGGAUCUCUCGGCUCUUGCAUCGAUGAAGAACGCAGC
rnacentral:misc_RNA from 1 species